AGCAGCCGCGGUAAUUCCAGCUCCAAUAGCGUAUAUUAAAGUUGUUGCAGUUAAAAAGCUCGUAGUUGAAUUUCGGGGUUCUACCGUUGGUCGGGCAAUAGUCUGUACUGGCGUGUGGAAUUUCUACCUUCUGGGGAACCAUCAUGUUAUUUAUUUAGCGUGGUGGGAAACCAGGACCUUUACCUUGAAAAAAUUAGAGUGUUCAAAGCAGGCUUACGUCUGAAUACAUUAGCAUGGAAUAAUAAAAUAGGACGGUGGUCCUGUUUUGUUGGUUUCUGAAUCACCGUAAUGAUUAAUAGGGAUAGUUGGGGGCAUUAGUAUUCAAUUGUCAGAGGUGAAAUUCUUGGAUUUAUUGAAGACUAACUUCUGCGAAAGCAUUUGCCAAGGAUGUUUUCAUUAAUCAAGAACGAAAGUUAGGGGAUCGAAGACGAUCAGAUACCGUCGUAGUCUUAACCAUAAACCUAUGCCGACUAGGGAUCGGACGAUGUUAAUUUUUCUUGACUCGUUCGGCGCCUUACGG
rnacentral:rRNA from 1 species